rnacentral:rRNA from 1 species
AGAGUUUGAUCAUGGCUCAGAACGAACGUUGGCGGCGUGGAUUAGGCAUGCAAGUCGGGGGAAUCCCAGCAAUGGGGGAACCGGCGUAAGGGGCAGUAAGGCGUGGGUACCUACCGCGGGGUUCGGAAUAGCCAUCAGAGAUGGUGGGUAAUACCGGAUGACGUCGUGAGACCAAAGAUUUAUCGCCCUGUGAGGGGCCCACGUGAUAUUAGCUUGUUGGUGAGGUAACGGCUCACCAAGGCGAAGAUGUCUAGCGGGUGUGAGAGCACGACCCGCGCCACUCGCACUGAGACACUGGCGAGACACCUACGGGUGGCUGCAGUCGAGGAUCUUCGGCAAUGAGCGCAAGCUUGACCGAGCGACGCCGCGUGCGCGAUGAAGGCCUUCGGGUUGUAAAGCGCUUUAGGGGGGGAGAAAAGCCCGCAAGGGUGUGAUCUAUCCCCAAAAUAAGCACGGGCUAAGUUCGUGCCAGCAGCCGCGGUAAGACGAACCGUGCGAACGUUGUUCGGAAUCACUGGGCUUAAAGGGCGCGUAGGCGGGCUGUCAAGUCUGGGGUGAAAUCCCGCGGCUCAACCGUGGAACUGCCUUAGAUACUGACGGCCUCGAGGGAGGUAGGGGCGUGCGGAACUGUGAGUGGAGCGGUGAAAUGCGUUGAUAUUCACAGGAACUCCGGUGGCGAGAGCGGCGCGCUGGACCUCUUCUGACGCUGAGGCGCGAAAGCUAGGGGAGCAAACGGGAUUAGAUACCCCGGUAGUCCUAGCCCUAAACGAUGGGUACUAGGUAGUAGACUAGAUAUGGGUUUACUGCCGAAGCUAAAGUGCUAAGUACCCCGCCUGGGGAGUAUGGUCGCAAGGCUGAAACUCAAAGGAAUUGACGG